rnacentral:rRNA from 1 species
GACGAACGCUGGCGGCGUGCCUAAUACAUGCAAGUAGAACGCUGACUACUUUAGCUUGCUAGAGUAGAAGGAGUUGCGAACGGGUGAGUAACGCGUAGGUAACCUGCGUACUAGCGGGGGAUCACUUAUGGAAACGAUAGCUAAUACUGCAUACCAGUGCUUAACACAUGCUAGAUGCUUGAAAGCUGCAAUUGCAUCCCUAGUAGUUGGAUCUGCGUUGUAUUAGCUAGUUGGUGGGGUAACGGCCCACCAAGGCGACGAUACAUAGCCGACCUGGGAGGGGGAUCGGCCACACUAGGACCGAGACACGGCCCAGACUCCUACGGGAGGCAGCAGUAGGGGAUCUUCGGCAAUGGGGGCAACCCUGACCGAGCAACGCCGCGUGAGGUAAGGAGGUUUUCGGAUCGUAAAGCUCUGUUGUAAGAGAAGAACGUGUGUGAGAGUGGAAAGUUCACACAGUGACGGUAACUUACCAGAAAGGGACGGCUAACUACGUGCCAGCAGCCGCCGCGG